GCCCCUCAAGCCAGCCCCCGCCCCGCCCUCUCUGCACUCCGUCCCUCCCCCUCUGCACCCCACCCCUUCCUCAGGCCUCAGCUUUCUCUUGACAGAUGGGAGGGCAGUGGGCACUCCCUCUUUAAAACAACAUUUAAUCGCCGUUUUCUGUUCUUGGACAUCAAAGCUGGGGCUUAGGCACUGCACUGGGGUCCCGGCGGCGCGGGCUCUUGGGGAGAGGAGUGGCUCUGGAUGUCACUCAGGGAGCAGAGUUGAAGCCCAGAAUUAACAGAAGUCUGCACAAGACCCACAAGAGUGUAGCUGAUCAAACAAAGAAGAGUGAAUCUAAGGACUGCUCCAUCCUGCCAGCACCUCCUCUCCCUCCACCCACAGCCACAGUGCCUUCCGCCUAGCUGCCAGCAGAGUCCCUCUCGCCCCAGCAUCCAUCCAUCCUUUACUCUUCCAUCCUGCAGAGAAUAUAUCCCCCCACCGCUCCCCCUCUACAGACAACUUAUCACGUUUUUGAAAACUCCUUAAUCACUCCUAGGAUAGGUCCAAACUCCCCAUGGGACCUCAAUGGUAGUCCCUGCUUGACACCCCAAUCUGUUCUUUAGAUCCACCCCUACCUUGCUAGAGUCAAUUUGAUCACCAGGAUGGUUUUAGAGACUUAGGGUCCUGUGCUCUGCGGCCUGUGUCACCCUGUUUCACCAGCUGAACAGAGCACAACGCAAGCUUCCUGGUCCUCUCAGCUUUCCCCGGGGUCUUGCUUCAUCUCAAAUGCUACCUUUCUCAGGAGACCUUCCCUAGAUGCCUGAGACUGUAUCGGGUGCCCUGCUAUGCAGACCCUGCAACCCGCCAUUUGUCACAGUGCAUUACUGUCAUCUAAGCUCUCCGGUGUUCCCUUCACCAGACAUCGAGUUCCUUGAGGUUAGGAACCGUGUGUUCUAUAUCUUGGUGUUCCUAGAGCCUAACAUUGCACUUGGCAGGUGCCCAAUAAAUCUUUGCUGAAUACAUGGAAGGAAAAUAGAGGGAAGAAGAGAGGCAAUUCGCUCACUGAAACUGAGGAUGCAGUCGCCAAGGGUGAGGAAAUGGAGCUAAAUAGGAAGACGCCCCUCACAUGCCCACCUAGGCAUCUCCCCAUGACAUCAAGAACUGGUAUCCAUGCUGCAGGUAGAGUAGCUCAGUGUGGGCUCUUGCGCCUGUAUUUGUUCCUAAGGUCACCUUAAAGGAAGAAGGCGUGACAGGCUCAGGACAGUGGCAUUUUAUAGCUGGGGACUACCUGGCUUGGUCCAGUCUAGGGUGAGCUGUUUCCACACAGACCGGAAGGCUUUGCCCCACCGGGAGGCCCUAGCUCUCUCUGUGCUCCCAGACCCAGAGCUACAGCUCUUUGGCCACUCCUUACCCGGAGUGCUGGCGGACUGACUCCCCUAGGCUGCUUUCUUUGCACCCCAGGGGUGCCUCAGUGAAAGUGAACUCUCUCAUUUAAACCUGACUCUGCAGCCCUGCGGCCCCCUGCAGAGCUAAUUACCCUGUAGUUCCAAACUGAUUGCUGUACACUCAGCUUAAGCCCUCCUUUAUUUAUUUACUGACUACAUUAAUAGCAAAGCCCAGUGGCUUUCAGCUGCUCCUUGUUACACACCUCUGGCUGUUCUCUGUUGCCCAGCUUCUCUCAGCCUGACAUAGAGCCCCCCGAACUUACCACCCUAACUGAAUUCCCUGGACAAGAUAAUAGCGAGAGAACACGGUUUUGUCCACACCGUAGUCCUGCCACGCUGGGCUCCUUCUGUCUGACUCUUGGGCAGUGGGAGAGACAACAGCCAGAGCUCACCAGCUGGAGGGGUGAGUGGAGGGAAGGUGGGACGCCUUUCAUCUACAGGACAUGAAAUGAAUCUGCUUCCGUUCAGCACCACAGCUCUUGUGGAGAAGUACUGGCUAUUGGCUCCUCUUUACAGGGGAGUAAACAGAGGCUGUGACACACACACACACACACACACACACACACACACACACACACACACACACACACACGGUCCUGUUAAGGGAAGAGCCUCCUCUCCAUCCUGUCAUCCAGGGUUGACAGUUUUGUUCUGUCGCCUGUUCUCACAGCACCCGCCCCUUGUCACCAGGAAGGAAUCCCUCCAUGUACUGAGUCAAAUCCCACAAUUCCUCAGGGUUGUCUGUCCUACUCAUGUACUUGGCCAGAAUUUGCUGGAAACCAGGGAACAUUCCAGGGGUGCAUUCCAGGGUGGGCCUGGGUCAGGUCUCAUUACCCUGGUGAGGAAGCCCUGCAAGGACACUCAGCUACCUAUGACAAGGUACCUCGCCUCCUUCCCAUUCUGUGGUCCAGGAGGUUCACGGCUGCCACAGCCACCGACAGUUUCUCUGGUGCCCUCGAGUCCUUGAGUUUACACUGGGUUCUAGCCAUGAGAUUCGGCAGCAUUCUGAAGACCGGAAGGGCCUCAAAAGGACCUCUGGAGUCAAGCAUUCAGCCUCCACUUUGAUUCAGAUUCAGCUCAGUGGCUGUCCCAUUGCCACACCUCUGAAGAGAAGGGACAGUUGGAAUUUAGCAAGAAGAACCUCAAUUCAUAGUCAAAAGGACGCUGUGUUUUGGGCCAGCUCUGCCAUACUCUGUUUGGCUUUGAUUUUGUAUUAAGGUUCUCCAAGGUCUUCUCUUCUCAACUGUGAGACGGAACAGCAAUUUUUAGCCCAUCUACCCUCAGGCACUUAUGUCAGCUGGGUAAGACCCUUAGAAAUCAACUUUGUAAAGACACCUAUGACAAUGUAAGCUAUAAGGGGAUGUGGCAGGCACAGGAUGGCCUGGAAGGGGAGGUAGAGGCCUAGGUGUCUGUCUCUUCCUAGUCCAGAAGCCCCUUUGCGUGGCCUGAAAUGAGCAGAAUGCCUACUUGACAGCAUAAGUAGGACUCUGUCUCCACCUAGUGGCUAGUGCUUGAAGGUGCGUAUACUGCUCAGGCAUCUGGAAAGUGACGGGUAUAACUGUCUUGGUUGAGUGAGGAUGGGUAAGCAGAGACUAUGAUUCACAUGAUACCAGGGGAGAAACACAACCUGAUUAUGGGAGGUCAAAAGGAUCUUUCCGGGAGUCCUCCUGAGCCACUGCAUCUUCACUCUUUACUUUUUCUCCCGUUGCACGCUUGGCGAUUUAGAUCCCAGUCUUCCCAACCCUCAAACGCUAAUUCAUAUUUAACCCUCACCUCACCCGGAGGGAUCAGCAGACCCAGAUGGACUUCAAAUCCUUAAAGCUUCUUUACCAAGGAAGGCCCAAACAGGCCAUUGGAACUGAACACCACCUCCAGGCUGGUUUUAAGAAAUGACAGGAGACUGUGUAUGGGGACAGUGGGGCAACCUAUGUCCCUGUGUUCCAGAAGCUUCAGAAAAAUUAGAAAUGAAAUGCUGUGGCUGCUGCCCUGACACAGGACUGUCCCUCCAGGGCAAUGUAAAAGCCUAACACUGUACACUCCUCCUCCCCUUGCCCAUCUCUAGCUGGAUUGGCCUCUGUUCUCGAGACUGUGGCUCUUCCUCACUCGGAUACCUGAGUCCCCACCCAUGGGCCAUUGAGUGUCUUUCCCCUUGUCCCUUGGUACCUCUGGCCACCUCGGACAGUUGCAUUAGAAUGGGUUAGAAGAUAUCUCUCACCAUAUUUCUAGCUAUGACUCUGGUUAGCUCUACAUAGCCUCAGAGAAAAUCCCUGGCUCCAUACCACCUGUUAGUUCUCCUCCCACCCACUUCUUUUAAAGCAGCAUUUGGUUUUUUAACUGAUAUCUAUUGGGGUGGAGGUGGAAGGUCUUCAGGAUAAAGUAAGCUUCUAGUGACCCCAGGUGGACAGAAGAAGGAAAUGCACACGUGGUGUCAGGCAGAUGAGAAGUCACAGUGACAGAGGGAGGGCACAGGGACCUCCCGUGUCUGACCUGAGAGACACCGACCCAGCUCCCAGAAAUCUCUUAACGACUAACCUCCGCUCUCUGCCCCACCAGAGCUUGAUCUUCCCGUUAAUUCUCCACAGAGCAGCUGAGAUCAGGCUAGGCCGUCUAAAUUAGAUUUCUCUGAUCUCAAAGAAAAUUAAAAAAAAAAAAAAAAAAAAAA